rnacentral:lncRNA from 10 species
ACACCUGACCUCUUCAGUUCAUCAGUGGGGUUCACCAGCAUCACCCCCAUUUUUCAUGGGGAGAAACUCAGAAGUGGAGAGAACGUCUGAGGCUACAUAGCCAGUACAAAAUCGCUUCUUGACCUGCACAACUUUCUGAUUUGAUGAGUUCAACAGAAACCAACUCAAGGGAGAAGAAUAAAGACAUUGUUGAACUUAGACUUUGACAAGAUGCAUAUUGGAUAUCUAAAUAGAGAUAUCAAGAAAUGAAGAUAUGCAUUUCCAGUUCCAGAGAGAAAUUCACACUGGAAAUAUAAAUUUAGGAAUUUUAAAGUUAGUGGUCACAUUUAAAGCUGCAGAAUACAAAGAGAUCACCUGUGUGAGAGAACUGAGUCCUGAAACAUACCCGUGUUUAAAGAUCUGGGAGGUGCAGAGGAAUUAUCAAAGGAGGCUGAGAAGGAGCAGCCAGUGAGGUGUGUAGAAAAACAAGAUAAGCAAAAAGAAAAGCAAGAGAUAUGGAACUGAACUUCCCUUUGGCAAAAAAUUUAGAAAAUGAUAAUGAGACUCCGCUUUCUGUCUCUCUGAAGAUAACGUUAAGCUGCAGCUCCGUAUCUGUGAAAACCCAUUUCACAGCAUCUGCAUCCCUGGAUUGCUAAAUACCCUUGUCUAGUUACCCAAAUAUUAAUGGAUCCCAUGGAAUAAGGUGGCAUGAUUUAGGCACAAGCAAUUACCAAAGGAUUUUGAAAAGCAGUAACUCCAAAUUAUCUUGUAAAGUUGAGAAUAAUCUGAGAAGAGCUAUUGUAAGACUGGGAAUCAAGUAACAAAAUAAAGAUAUGAACCGUC